GUCGGGAGUCUUGCACAAUGGGGGAAACCCUGAUGCAGCGACGUCGCGUGUGGGAUGAAGUAUUUCGGUAUGUAAACCACUUUUGCGGGGGGCGAAAAAAAUGACGGUACCCCGCGAAUAAGCCCCGGCUAACUACGUGCCAGCAGCCGCGGUAAUACGUAGGGGGCGAGCGUUGCUCGGAUUGACUGGGCGUAAAGCGCGCGUAGGCGGUCCAUUAAGUGUGCGGUGAAAUUCGGAGGCUCAACCUCCGUCCCGCCGCGCAAACUGAUGGUCUUGAGAUUGGGAGGGGGAUGCGGAAUUCCUGGUGUAGCGGUGAAAUGCAUUGAUAUCAGGAGGAACACCGGCGGCGAAAGCGGCAUCCUGGCUUAUAUCUGACGCUGAGGCGCGAAAGCGUGGGUAGCAAACGGGAUUAGAAACCCUGGUAGUCC
rnacentral:rRNA from 1 species